AACUUUCAACAACGGAUCUCUUGGCUCUCGCAUCGAUGAAGAACGCAGCGAAAUGCGAUAAGUAAUGUGAAUUGCAGAAUUCAGUGAAUCAUCGAAUCUUUGAACGCACCUUGCACCCUUUGGUAUCCCCAAAGGGUAUGCUCGUUUGAGUGUCA
rnacentral:rRNA from 1 species